GGAAUGAUUUAAACAAAUGCCAAAGGUGAGACAUGCUGGAAAAGCUUGAUAUGAAUGUGUAGACGUAGUUUUGGAAUUCAGAGGUGCAGCCGGCUGUUGGGAUUGCGCCAUCCAGGCAAUGUGGAUAUUCUGCCAUGUACAUGAUAAACCAAGGAUUCUUCAUCAACAUGCAAGAUGUUACUCCCUGUAAACUACUGUUGGCAGAGUAGCUGAUACAUUGGGAAAACGGUUAUGGCAAGUGUGAUGAAUAAAUCACCAUAGGUCAGUUGUCUUGCCUUCACAGUUGCAACAAAGAUGACUCAUGAAGUCAAAAACAUUAAAAGGUGGUACUAUUUUAAAUUUUUAAAUUGUUUUAUUUGGUGUAUCGCCAAGUGCUGAUACAUGUGUAGAACAUGCUGGAAUUCAUGUCAUCCUGGAGAGGACUAAAAAAACGAGCUUUAUCCACGAAGCAGCUCAUUAAUCAUGUCCCAAACGAUUGUCUGCGUCAGCCAGCAAUCUUUCAAUGGCUAACAAGCAUUUAAUAGUUUUGAAAAUCACGGUUUGCACUCCCUAAGGCGACAUUCCUUAAUCCUACCUGUCAAAAGAUUUGAAUGCAACCAUUUUCUAUUCAGAACUGUCGCCUACGAAAUUCUUUUUCCAUAAAAUGAGGUGAUCAUGAGGUUAUAAUGGAAAUUGUCGUCAAGACU